ACCUAAUAACACCUCUGGAGUGAUUUAGAAGACAUUAUGCCAACUUUAGCGUGCAUACUAACUUUCGCUAAGUCAAAGCUAACUUCCUAUGGAGUUAAAUUUGUCUCAAUACCAGCAAAUGCACAGAGGGUGAUCUACAAAUAUUCCUU